rnacentral:rRNA from 1 species
GGAAGGAUCAUUACCGAAUUGUCAACAAGAGUUGUUGCUGGUCUCCGUAUGGGGGCAUGUGCACGCUCUGUUUACACAUCCACUCACACCUGUGCACGCUCUGUAGUUCUAUGGCCUGGGUGGGCUCUGUCCUCCUGCUGUGGUUCUAUGUCUUUACACACACACUACAACAAAGUCUCAUGGAAUGUAUGUCGCGUUUAACGCAAUGGAAUACAACUUUCAGCAACGGAUCUCUUGGCUCUCGCAUCGAUGAAGAACGCAGCGAAAUGCGAUAAGUAAUGUGAAUUGCAGAAUUCAGUGAAUCAUCGAAUCUUUGAACGCACCUUGCGCCCUUUGGCUAUUCCGAAGGGCAUGCCUGUUUGAGUAUCAUGAACACCUCAACUCUCAUGGCUUGCCAUGAUGUGCUUGGACUUUGGGGGUCUUGUUGGCCUGUGAGCCAGCUCCUCUUAAAUGAAUCAGCUUGCCGGUGUUUGGUGGCGUCACAGGUGUGAUAACUAUCUACGCUUGUGGUUUCCCACCAGGGUAACCUUCAGCAAUGAAGGUUCACCGGAGCUUAUAAAUGUCUCUCCUCAGUGAGGACAGAUUUUGACCAUUUGAUCUCAAAUCAGGUAGGACUACCCGCUGAACUUAAGCAUAUCAAUAAGCGGAGGAA